GACGAACGCUGGGGGCGUGCUUAACACAUGCAAGUCGAACGGAAAGGCCCUGCUUUUGUGGGGGGCUCGAGUGGCGAACGGGGGAGUAAAACGUGAGUAACCUGCCCUUGACUUUGGGGUAAAUUCAGGAAACUGGGGCUAAUACCGGAUAGGAGCUCCUGCUGCAUGGUGGGGGUUGGAAAGUUUCGGCGGUUGGGGAUGGACUCGCGGCUUAUCAGCUUGUUGGUGGGGUAGUGGCUUACCAAGGCUUUGACGGGUAGCCGGCCUGAGAGGGUGACCGGCCACAUUGGGACUGAGAUACGGCCCAGACUCCUACGGGAGGCAGCAGUGGGGAAUAUUGCACAAUGGGCGGAAGCCUGAUGCAGCAACGCCGCGUGCGGGAUGACGGCCUUCGGGUUGUAAACCGCUUUCGCCUGUGACGAAGCGUGAGUGACGGUAAUGGGUAAAGAAGCACCGGCUAACUACGUG
rnacentral:rRNA from 1 species